rnacentral:rRNA from 1 species
GGGAAUGCGCAGCUACCAUGCAGUCGAACGGUAACAGGAAGCACCUGGCUGCUUCGCUCACGAGUGGCGGAGGGGUGAGUAGUGUCUGGGAAACUGCCUGAUGGAGGGGGAUCACUACUGGAAACUGUCUCUUAUACCGCAUAACCUCGCAAGACCAAAGAGGGGGACCUUCGGGCCUCUUGCCAUCAGAUGUGCCCAGAUGGGAUUAUCUAGUGUGUGGGGUAACGGCUCAUCUACGACACUAUCCCUAUCUGGUCUGAGAAGAAGACCACCCACUCUGGAACUGACACACGGUCCACACUCCUACGGGGGGCAGCUGUGGGGAAUAUUGCACAGUGGGCGCACCCCUGAUGCCCCCGUGCCGCGUGUAUAAAAAAGGCCUUCGGGUUGUAAAGUACUUUCCGCGGGGAAGAGGGUGAUGAGGUUAAUAACCUUGUCUAUUGACUUUCCCCGCAAAAAAAGCCCCGGCAAACUCCGUGCCACGCCCGGGGAUUAAAA